rnacentral:rRNA from 1 species
CUUUGCUUCUUUUGGAAUCGAGUGGCAAACGGGUGAGUAACACGUAAACAACCUGCCUUCAGGAUGGGGACAACAGACGGAAACGACUGCUAAUACCGAAUACGCUUGGAAGACCGCAUGAUUUUCCAAGGAAAGGGUGGCCUCUACCUGUAAGCUAUCGCCUGAAGAGGGGUUUGCGUCUGAUUAGGCAGUUGGUGAGGUAACGGCCCACCAAACCUACGAUCAGUAGCCGGUCUGAGAGGGUGACCGGCCACAUUGGGACUGAGACACGGCCCAAACUCCUACGGGAGGCAGCAGUAGGGAAUUUUCGGCAAUGGGCGAAAGCCUGACCGAGCAACGCCGCGUGAGUGAAGAAGGCCUUCGGGUUGUAAAGCUCUGUUGUGAAGGAAGAACGGCUCAUACAGAGAAUGGUAUGGGAGUGACGGUACUUUACCAGAAAGCCACGGCUAACUACGUG